UGGGGAAUUUUGGACAAUGGGGGAAACCCUGAUCCAGCCAUCCCGCGUGUGCGAUGAAGGCCUUCGGGUUGUAAAGCACUUUUGGCAGGAAAGAAACGUCAUGGGUUAAUACCCCGUGAAACUGACGGUACCUGCAGAAUAAGCACCGGCUAACUACGUGCCAGCAGCCGCGGUAAUACGUAGGGUGCAAGCGUUAAUCGGAAUUACUGGGCGUAAAGCGUGCGCAGGCGGUUCGGAAAGAAAGAUGUGAAAUCCCAGAGCUCAACUUUGGAACUCAAUUUUAACUACCGGGCUAGAGUGUGUCAGAGGGAGGUGGAAUUCCGCGUGUAGCAGUGAAAUGCGUAGAUAUGCGGAGGAACACCGAUGGCGAAGGCAGCCUCCUGGGAUAACACUGACGCUCAUGCACGAAAGCGUGGGGAGCAAACAGG
rnacentral:rRNA from 1 species